CAAAGAAUAGUUUAAAUAAAAUAAUAAUUUUGGAGAUUAUAGAUAAAGAAAUUCUUUUUUUUUGA
rnacentral:tRNA from 2 species